ACAAAUCUCUGUUUUGUUAGGCUUAAUCCUGCAAGGACCUAGAACAACCUUUAAAUCCUGCAGAUAAGAAAGAACAAAAAUGUUAAAUCAAUGCUCCAAGAUAAACACAAAUUUGAGAGAGGAAAUCGCUAGGGAAUAGCCAUAGACGAGUUCAGUGAUGCUCCAGCAUGAAUUCCCCCAAGGAAAAUUUCUUCAAUCACACUCAAAUCCUACGAACAGAAAUUCCCCCAAAGUUUACC
rnacentral:lncRNA from 7 species